AACCAAUCCAACCGGGACCCUGACCGGGACCAGCAGGUGCUCCGACUGAACCUGACCGGGACCGGGACAGGACCGGGACGGAGAGGGAGAUGGAGAGGGGUGGGUGGGUCGACUGUUGGGUGAAGGGGAAAAUCAGCGAUGUCAUUACCAAAACAUUCCUGCACUGAAAGAGAGAGAGAGAGAGAGAGAGAGAGGGGGGAAUACAGAGCAAGAGAAAGUAAUGUAGAGAAAGAGAGUGUUAGAAAGAGAGAGUGGUAGAGAGAGAGAAUGGUAAAAAGAUGAAAAGAGAGAGAUAUAAUGGAAGGAAAAGAGAGGGGAAGAAAGAAAGAGUAGUAGAAAGAGAGAAGUAGUAGAGAGAGAGAAUGGUAUAUCCAGAGAGUGGAAGAGAGAGUGGUAGAAAGAGAGAGGGGGAGAAAGGAAAAGGGAGAGAAAGAGAGAGAGAAAGGUAGAGAAAGACUGCUAGAAAGAGGGAGAGUGGUAGAGAGAGAGAAUGGUAGAGAAAGACUGCUAGAAAGAGAGAGAGAGUGGUAGAGAGAAAUUGAGGAUGUUACAGAACAUAAAAAAGUAAUAGAGAGAGAGUGGUAGAGAGAGAGAAUGGUAGAAAGAGAGAGUGGUAGAAAGAGAGAGAGUGGUAGAGAAAGUGGUAGAAAGAGAGAGUGGUAGAAAGAGAGAGUGUGGUAGAGAAAGUGGUAGAAAGAGAGAGUGGCAGAAAGAGAGAGUGGUAGAAAGAGAGAGUGGCAGAAAGAGAGAGUGGUAGAAAGAGAGAGAGAGUUUUAUGCUUUGGCAGUAGUGUUGCUUGUUAUAUUCAUGCCAAUAAAGCACUGUUGAACUGAACUGAGAGUAGUAGAGAGAGAGAAUGGUAAAAAGAGAGAAUUCGGUAGAGAGAGGGUAGUGAGUGGUAAAGAGAGUGAGUGGUAGAGAAAACAGUGAGGGUUUAACUGAGCAGGAGAGAGAGAUAGAGAGAGAGGUAGAAAGAAAGAGGGGUGGAGAGAAAGCCGAGUGUGUUUCAGAGCAGGAGAGAGUGAUAAAGAGAGAGAAAGAGUGAUAGAGUGCUAUAGAGAGAGAGAGAGGUCUGGAAAUGAGGUGUGUUCAGGUACAUUUCUGGAGUUUUAUCUUGUUUAUCUUGGUAACAGAAAACACAGGAGCUCCACUGACUGAAUACAACCUAGACAGACGCCAACAGUCAGACGUUCAUC